rnacentral:rRNA from 1 species
UGGGGAAUUUUGGACAAUGGGCGCAAGCCUGAUCCAGCCAUGCCGCGUGCGGGAAGAAGGCCUUCGGGUUGUAAACCGCUUUUGUCAGGGAAGAAACGCUCUGGGCUAAUACCCUGGGGUAAUGACGGUACCUGAAGAAUAAGCACCGGCUAACUACGUGCCAGCAGCCGCGGUAAUACGUAGGGUGCAAGCGUUAAUCGGAAUUACUGGGCGUAAAGCGUGCGCAGGCGGUUAUGCAAGACAGAUGUGAAAUCCCCGGGCUCAACCUGGGAACUGCAUUUGUGACUGUAUAGCUAGAGUACGGUAGAGGGGGAUGGAAUUCCGCGUGUAGCAGUGAAAUGCGUAGAUAUGCGGAGGAACACCGAUGGCGAAGGCAAUCCCCUGGACCUGUACUGACGCUCAUGCACGAAAGCGUGGGGAGCAAACAGGAUUAGAUACCCCAGUAGUCCCUGAGCGGGCUGGCAAGGCGCAU